AUGUUGUAACACCUGUUCCUAUACAAUCACCGAAGUUAAACAACGUCAAGCCUGGUCAGUACCUAGAUGGGUGACCGCUUGAGAAUACCACAUGCUGUA